GCGAAGCCCUGCGGGGCCCGUGUGAGCUUGCCGAAAAUCAGGUCAUUGAGGUUCGCUUUAGCGAAACUAUUCAAGUUAGCGUCGUUUAAAGAACGAGGGUAAGCACGACGUAA